rnacentral:tmRNA from 1 species
UUGGACCCGGGGGCGGUGCCCGGCGCCUCCACCAAAAUAUAGAUAAUGUCAACUAUAUUUUUAUGGGGGCGAAAUUAGGAUCGACAAGGGCGUAAAGAUUGCUCUUUUACUCGGUAUUGUACCACCGUUAUCGGACUAAAUUAAUAGUUGCAAAUGAUAACAACUAUGCGAAAGCUGCUCUAGCUGCUUAAUGCGGCGUGAGUGCUUCAAAUUUAAGUCUUAGGUCGACGCAGAUCUAAGCGGGGUUCGGAGG